rnacentral:lncRNA from 1 species
CUAAAAGAGCAAAAGAAACACUGUCCAACUAGCUGUGUAACCUGAACAAGGAAUCAGAUAAAAAGCCAGGAGGCCUCAGUGCACUCACCAUGUCCCUGCACCAGAAGCCAGCUCUUCGCCAUCUGCUCUUUUCUUCUGUCUUCGUAUUUGGGAGCCCGUGCCUCCAUGACCUUUUGGGAAUUCCUGCCUUUGCCUACACCUCGGUUUGGGGGAAUUACUGCCUGCGCCUCCCAUUAUGCAGAGAUAUAUGGUCUUCUGCCUCCAUCUCUUGAAGACAGUCUCCCUCAAGUCUUCUGGCCUCCUGGCUAAACAUUCCCAGCUCCUUCAUUUGCUUGUCGUCAAGAUGAUUUCAAGUUUUACCUCCAUCCUGAAGGACUAGCUUGGCAUCAUUUCCAAAAUGCAGUGCUGAAUGAGAACUGAACCACCAUAUCCCAGAUGGGACUUGAUGAAAGUCUGAUUAUCUUAUCUUUUAUCAGAAAACAUAGAUCUGGAAGGAACCCUGUAGGGCAUCUAGUCUCCCCUACCCCCAUUAUACGGGUACCACCUGGGGCUUCCUUUCAUUUAAAACCUACUGAAAGGGACCCUAAGAGAUCCACUAAAUCGGAUACUAAGAAUGAGGGCUAUCUAAAUCGGAACUACAUGUGGUUUCUCUUGUUGAAGUGCAGACAUGGACCAGAGUCCCCCCUAGAAACAAAAAAAAAAGAGAUGUGGGUACAGUCUGUAAAGCCUGCGGAGCACGAUGGCCCUCAUGGAUUGUUAAAGGACUCAGAAGAUGGCUUCCAAUAGAACUUGCAUAGAAAAGUGCUCCAGCCCCCAGGACAGGACAAGAAGGCCUGGCUGGCUUGCCAUCUUGUACAGCUGUUGGAGGACACCAUUGCCCUAAUAACUUCCAGCCACGUCCAUCAAGUUCUGCUUUUCUAAAAUUCAGCCUUUCUCUUAAGAUUCCACAAAUGUGUCAUUCUUUCUGGCAGUAUAAGGAGUCUGUCACAGCGAUGUUCCAUAGUUAUCUCCUUGUAGAAUGGAAGCUCUUGGAGAAGUCAGCCUUCCAAUUUUGGCUUUGUAGCUCCAGAAGCUAGCACUGAGUAUGUGUCUAUGAGAUGCAUGUUGAACUGAAUGCACUUGCACUGUUCAACUCAUUGUUUCUGUUAAGACGAUGAAGUAGUAUAGCAAUAAACUUCAUGAUGCCAACA